rnacentral:lncRNA from 1 species
GAUUCCGUCCAGGCGGCCAAUCUAAGGCGCCCGUACAACCUUCCGGCCAAUGGGGCCUCCGCUCUUAUCGCGAAGUCCCUUCAACGCCCUGUUUCCUCUCUCGGGUUUCCUCCCUCCCCCGCCUAGGAGGGGGAAAGAGGAAAGGGGGAGUGUGGCGGGGCGGGUGAUAAUGGGGAGGUAUCAGGGCAAAUAAUAGAGCAGGGGGUGGGCGAAGAGAGCGCCAGUGCGUAGCGACGAUUCUGGGAGAGGAGGUGCUCGGAGGAAAGGGCGGGGGUUGCUGAUGUAAUGGGGAGAAGUGAUUAAUCCUUCGGUUCGCCGUUUCAGCUUCCCCCCUACCCCAACCUUCACCCGAUUUUUUUGAGCUGAAAAAAAAGUGGAACGAGGGAGCCAAUCUUUGGUAACUCGGGUUUUCUGUGGUAGGUGGGUUCAAAAUCUGAGCUGUAGGGAGCGCUAGAGAUUUCGUGCCCUUUAGCCAAGCUGAGGGUAUUUGCAAACCCUGAAGAUUUCCGUCUCCGAGCUUUGGGCUUGGUCCCACAAACUGCAAGGAAAAGAAAAACCCUCAACAGGAAUUACCUUUAUACCUGAUGCCCCCAACAUAAUCUCUCUCCAAGGGAAACGUGUUUUUAUUGCCUUGCGGCUGAAAAUGUAUUCUCGAUUCUCCCCCUUCUCUCUUUUGUUGUGCAUUUUUUGGAUGUGGUAAAACUGGCAGUUUAUCUGAUUAUCUGGUUUUCAGAACUUUGGGCGAUGUCUCUGAGUGUCAUCAGUUGCUCUCUAGGUUUGACAUAGAUAAUUAAGCAACUACAAAGCGUGAUAAAGCUUUUGAGAGGGAGGAAAAUGUAUUUUGGAAGGAGGGAGAGACGCAAAGAGGCGAGCCUGUGUGUUGAGUCCCAGACUUGGUGUGUGACUACAGGCAAAGUACUUCACCUUUCUAGAUGUCAGCCCCGCCCCCCUCACCUCCCAAGUUUAAAUAAGAACUUAUUUUAGACUACAUGAUCCUGUUUUCAAUUUUUAAGAGUUCUGUGAUUUUGAGAUGAUCUCUCUUUAGUCCAGAAAAAUAGAGAAACGUAGGUCUAUGUUUGUUUCUCAAAAAAAUAUUUGAGGAGGACAGCUGUUACAAAACAGCUGGAGAACUCCAAAUUUUUAUGGUGGUUAGCUAGGUGCAAAUGGGUACAAUUUUAGGUUUGUUCAAAUAAACAUAGGGGAAAAGUAAAAGUACAGGAAAAUUACGUUAUACAUAUAAGUGUGUCCAUCAUUUCUGAUUUUUCUAAAAAUUUACUUUUUUAUUUGACAAGUACUUUUUGGCUCCUUCCGUGUAUGCAUUAAUAUGUAUAUAAGGUGUUAUGGGAAAUACUAAUAAAAGGAAAAUAUUGGGCAUAAA